rnacentral:rRNA from 1 species
UACAGAGGUGGCAAGCGUUGUUCGGAAUUACUGGGCGUAAAGGGCGCGUAGGCGGCCUUCUAAGCCAGACGUGAAAUCCCCAGGCUUAACUUGGGAACUGCGUCUGAUACUGGGAGGCUUGAGUGCGGGAGAGGGAUGUGGAAUUCCAGGUGUAGCGGUGAAAUGCGUAGAUAUCUGGAGGAACACCGGUGGCGAAGGCGGCAUCCUGGACCGACACUGACGCUGAGGCGCGAAAGCUAGGGGAGCAAACGGG